rnacentral:rRNA from 1 species
CCUACGGGAGGCAGCAGUGGGGAAUAUUGGACAAUGGGGGGAACCCUGAUCCAGCGACGCCGCGUUAGUGAAGAAGUAUUUCGGUAUGUAAAGCUCUAUCAGUAGGGAAGAAAAUGACGGUACAUGACUCAGAAGCCCCGGCUAUCUACGUGCCAGCAGCCGCGGUAAUACGGAGGGGGCAAGCGUUAUCCGGAUUUACUGGGGUUAAAGGGAGUGGAGACGGUGCAGCAAGUCUGAUGGGAAAGGUAGGGGCCCAACCGCGGGACUGCAUUGGAAACUGUUGAACUGGAGUACAGGAGAGGUAAGCGGAAUGCCUGGUGUAGCGGUGAAAUGCGUAGAUAUUAGGAAGAACACCAGUGGCGAAGGCAGCUUACUGGACUGUAACUGACGUUGAGGCUCGAAAGCGUGGGGAGCAAACAGGAUUAGAUACCCCAGUAGUC